GUGAAUUGUGUUUCCAGAAAUAAAGGGUCCACUAUAACUAAAAUUGGAACGAUACAGAGAAGAUUAGCAUGGCCCCCAAGCAAAGAUGACACGCAAAUUCGUAAAGCGUUCAAAAAAAAA
ensembl:snRNA U6 U6 spliceosomal RNA